rnacentral:sRNA from 1 species
UUAUAGCCCCGAUCGCAGCGGCAUCCUCCUGUUUUGUCUCGUUCGAAAGAACGAGACAAAACAGGAGAUAUAGCGGAGAGCGGGACGAUGC